GAAUUGCAGAAUCCCGCGAACCAUCGAAUCUUUGAACGCAAGUUGCGCCCGAGGCCGCCGGGCCGAGGGCACGCCUGCCUGGGCGUCACGC
rnacentral:rRNA from 1 species